rnacentral:rRNA from 1 species
AAUCAACGCUGGCGGCGUGCCUAACACAUGCAAGUCGAACGCGAAAGUCCCGCAAGGGAUUAGUAGAGUGGCAAACGGGUGAGUAACACGUGGGUGACCUGCCUUCGAGCGGGGGAUAACGUCCCGAAAGGGACGCUAAUACCGCAUAACAUCCUGCCUUUUAAGAGGUGGAGAUCAAAGCCGGGGAGUCGCAAGACCUGGCACUUGAAGAGGGGCCCGCGCCUGAUUAGCUAGUUGGGAGGUAACGGCUCACCAAGGCGACGAUCAGUAGCUGGUCUGAGAGGAUGAUCAGCCACAUUGGGACUGAGACACGGCCCAAACUCCUACGGGAGGCAGCAGUGGGGAAUAUUGGACAAUGGGCGCAAGCCUGAUCCAGCCAUGCCGCGUGAGUGAUGAAGGCCCUAGGGUUGUAAAGCUCUUUUGUGCGGGAAGAUAAUGACGGUACCGCAAGAAUAAGCCCCGGCU